rnacentral:rRNA from 1 species
GAUGAACGCUGGCGGCGUGCCUAAUACAUGCAAGUCGAGCGAACGGACGAGAAGCUUGCUUCUCUGAUGUUGCGGCGGACGGGUGAGUAACACGUUGAUAACCUACCUUUAAGACUUGGAUAACUUCCGGAAACCGGAGCCAAUACCGGAUAAUAUUUUUGAACGCAUUGGUUCAAAGUGAAAGACCGUCUUGCCUGCACUUAUUGAUGGGUCCGCGCUGCAUUAGCUAGUUGGUAAGGUAACGGCUUACCAAGGCAACGAUGCAUAGCCGACCUGAGAGGGUGAUCGGCCACACUGGAACUGAGACACGGUCCAGACUCCUACGGGAGGCAGCAGUAGGGAAUCUUCCGCAAUGGGCGAAAGCCUGACGGAGCAACGCCGCGUGAGUGAUGAAGGUCUUCGGAUCGUAAAACUCUGUUAUUAGGGAAGAACAUAUGUGUAAGUAACUGUGCACAUCUUGACGGUACCUAAUCAGAAAGCCACGGCUAACUACGUG